rnacentral:lncRNA from 1 species
CCGAUUCUAAAAAGGUAUAACAUCAUGGGUCAGCGUGGACCAACCCCUAGAAAGGUAUAACAACAUGGGUCACCAUGGACCAACACCCGAUUCCCACAUGUGGAAGGGUUCUAGAAAGGUAUAUACAGCAUGGGUCAGCGUGGACCAACCCCUGAUUCCCACAUGUGCGUAUAACGUGCAACUGCACAUGCACGUGGCAAGUAACAACCUUCAACGUGCACUACCAUACACAUUGCCA